CGUCACUCCCGCGUGUUGCUCGAAGAGUCUUAACUGCUUUGCUAAGCAAAAAGACUAGCAACAUCGUGUCUAAAAUGAUUGUUUGGCAUCAUCCCCAUUAUCUUUCACCUAGACAACAUGCAGGCUAUUUCUGGCAAACAUCAGAGAGGAAACGACAAUGUCUGAACAUCAGCAGUCUCAGCAGACUUGGGAAACCUGAGCUGAGCUGAGAUCUCCUCUGAAGCUCUGGAGACUACUGUGGGAUUUCUCAGAAGAAAGGUGGAAGAUUUAACCAAAAAGCUCUCUAUU